rnacentral:lncRNA from 1 species
GAUUAAUGGUAUAUCGUUUCUGUAAAUAGUUUUGGCUGGAAGAUAAUGGGAUCUUUACUGGGUCGAAAUUUUGUAUCGAAUCUGUUCCAAUUUCUUUCCGUUUAGUUCUUGGUUAUCCCAUGAACCACCGAAUUCAGCUAAGAAUCAUGAUUACAAGAAAGCAAUUAAUUAAAGAGAAGAGUCUUAGUGAUCAAAGAACAAAACUAACGCGUGCUGGGAAAAUGGGUCUUGUUGAGUUUGUUAUUUGAUUUAGUCAAGUUUGUUAAUAAGUCCUAUUCUAUAGGAAGUAGUUUCGUAUUUUGUUCUAAUCUAUUAGCUAUCUUAAUGGGUUGUUAGUAAGUUAACUUUAAAAGUUCAUUUCUGUGUAACAAGGCUAUAUAAAGGCCUGUAGUUUCCUUUAAUAAAACAACUUUUACAAAUCAUAUGAGUGUUUCUUUACAUUUGGUAUCAGAGCCAUAUAACAGGGCCUGAUUGUGAGUGUUUGUGUGAAUAGAAAAACUGCAGAUUUUUCUAUUGAGUAAAUAGAGUCAAAUAAUAUGGCAGAAGGCAGUAGCAGUGGAUUUGUACAACCGGCCAUUCCCAAAUUUGAUGGCCAUUAUGAUCAUUGGGCGAUGAUGAUGGAGAAUUUUCUUCGUUCAAAAGAAUAUUGGGAUCUCAUUGAGAAUGGGAUAUCAGGGGAAUCAAAUCAGCAGACUGAAAAGUUGAAAGAUUUAAAGGCAAAGAAUUACCUUUUUCAAGCCAUUGAUCGAACUAUUCUGGAAACUAUUCUCAACAAGGACACCUCAAAGAGCAUCUGGGACUCAAUGAAACAAAAAUACAAAGGCUCCAACAAGGUGAAGAGGGCACAAUUGCAAGCACUUCGGAAAGACUUUGAAACACUCCGCAUGAAGGAAGGCGAAACUGUUGACAACUUGUUUGCUCGUACUCUCACUAUAGCUAAUAAAAUGAAAGCUCAUGGUGAGACAAUGAGUCAAACAAUUAUCAUUGAGAAAAUCUUGAGGUCCAUGACCUCAAAAUUUGAUUAUGUGGUAUGCUCUAUCGAAGAAUCCAAUGAUUUGGAUACAAUGACGAUUGAUGAAUUGCAAAGCAGCUUGUUAGUUCAUGAACAAAGAAUGAAUGGCCAUCGUGAAGAGGAGCAGGCUCUUAAGGUCAGUCAUGAGUACAGUUACAGAGGUAGAGGUCGAGAUCGUGGCUCAUUCAGAGGAAGAUGUCGAGGAAGAGGUCGUGGUGCCCAACAAUUCAACAAAGCUACUGUUGAGUGUUUUAAUUGUCACAAUUUAGGACAUUUCCAAUAUGAAUGUCCUCAAAGGGAUAUUGGAGCCAACUAUGCCGAACUAAAUGAAGAAGAAGAGCUGUUAUUGAUGUCGUAUGUUGAGCUUAACCAAGCACAAAGAGAAGAGAUUUGGUUCCUUGACUCCGGUUGUAGCAAUCACAUGAGUGGGAAUAAAGAAUGGUUCUCCGAUUUGGAUGUCCACUUCAGGCAAACCGUGAAGCUAGGGGAUAAUUCAAGGAUGUCAGUUAUGGGGAAGGGAAAUAUUCGGAUGCAAGUCAAAGGAAUCACUCAGGUAAUAUCUGAAGUUUAUUACAUACCUGAGCUGAAAAAUAACUUGUUGAGUAUGGGGCAGCUGCAAGAAAAAGGUGUGUCAAUUUUAAUUCAGCAUGGAAAAUGCAAAGUCUUUCAUCCUAGUAAGGGCCUGAUUAUUGAGUCUGAAAUGAGUGCAAACAGAAUGUUUGUUUUGCUUGCAAACAUGAAACCUGAAGUUACUACUUGUUUUCAAGCAGUAACAGAAAUGAGAAUUAUUUGUGGCACCGCAGGUUUGGGCAUUUAAGCUUCAAAGGCUUGAAAACUCUUCAAAACAAAAGGAUGGUGAAUGGUUUGCCUUCACUCACAGAACCUCAAAAGCUGUGCAUUACCUGUUUAGCCGGAAAACAACACAAGGAAGCUAUUCCAAAAAGAAGUCUGUGGAGGGCAACACAAAAACUUCAGUUGGUGCACGCUGAUAUAUGUGGUCCUAUCAAACCUACAUCAAAUAGUAAUAAGAGGUAUUUCCUAAGUUUUAUUGAUGAUUUCAGCCGUAAAACUUGGAUUUAUUUCUUACAUGAAAAAUCGGAGGCUCUUACUGUUUUUAAAAGAUUCAAGGCUCAUGUUGAAAAGGAAGCAGAUGUUUUCCUUAAAUGUUUAAGGACUGAUAAAGGUGGUGAGUUCACCUCGAUUGAUUUUGAGGCAUUUUGCAAGGAAAAUGGCAUAUCCAGGCAAUUGACAGCAGCUUAUACUCCUCAGCAAAACGGAGUUGCAGAAAGGAAGAAUAGGACUGUGAUGAACAUGGUGCGAUGUAUACUAACAGAGAAGCAAGUUCCAAAGAUCUUUUGGCCAGAAGCAACUAAGUGGUGUGUGCACGUCCUCAACAGGUGUCCUACCUUAGCCGUGAAAGAUCGAACUCCGGAGGAAGCAUGGAGUGGUGUGAAGCCUACUAUACAACAUUUCAGAGUUUUUGGUUGCUUGGCCCAUGUGCAUGUACCUGACCAGAAGAGAAUCAAGUUAGAUGAUAAAAGCUUCAAAUGUGUUUUGUUGGGAGUAAGUGAUGAGUUGAAGGCUUAUCGGUUGUAUGAUCCCAUUUCUAAAAAGAUAGUUGUUAGCAAGGAUGUCAUUUUUGAGGAGAAUGAAAAAUGGAAUUGGAAUAUGAGCAAAGAGGAAAAGGCCUUGGAUUUGCUGGAUUGGGGAGAUAUUGAGGAAGGAGAUGCAGUAGAAAAUGGAACACCUGGGGUAGAGGAGAACAGAAUAACACAAGCUGAUUCAAGUGGCACAAGCUUAUCAUCUCUUAAUCAAGCAACUGGUUCAUGUAGCAGUACACCGUCAUCUAACGACACAGAUGAUGGGAACUCUCAGAGUCAAGUUCAAGGGAGGGAAAGACGAGCUCCACACUGGAUGCAAAAUUACGAAAGUGGAGAAGGUUUAUCGGAAGAAGAAGAAGAUUUGAGCGCCAUGACAGUAUUGAUAGAAGGUGAUCCUAUUACCUUUGAGGAAGCAGUAAAAAGUAAGAAAUGGAGAGAUGCCAUGAAUUCAAAAAUUGCAGCUAUUGAACGGAACAAAACGUGGAACUUGACUGACUUGCCUGAAGGAGUGAAACCGAUUGGAGUUAAAUGGGUUUUUAAAACAAAACUCAAUGAAAAUGGUGCUAUCAACAAGUACAAAGCUAGACUUGUAGCAAAAGGAUAUGCACAGCAAUAUGGUUUUGAUUAUACAGAAGUUUAUGCUCCAGUGGCAAGAUUAGAUACCAUAAGGUUGAUAAUCGCCAUAGCAGCUCGAGAAGGUUGGAACAUAUUUCAGCUUGAUGUGAAAAGUGCAUUCCUACAUGGGGAGCUUAAUGAGGAAGUGUAUGUCCUGCAGCCUCAAGGAUAUGAGAAGAAAGGCGAGGAAGACAAGGUUUAUAAGCUGAAUAAAGCCUUGUACGGUCUUAAGCAAGCUCCGCGAGCUUGGUACAACAAAAUUGAAGCUCAUUUUGUCAAGGAGGGUUUUGAUAAGUGUCAUCACGAGCACACCUUAUUCACAAAGACAACGGGAGGAGGUAAACUCUUAAUCGUCAGUCUUUAUGUUGAUGAUUUAAUAUUUACUGGUAAUGACAGCAACUUGUGCGAAGAAUUUAAGAAGUCAAUGAUGAUAGAAUUUGAUAUGACUGAUUUGGGUAAAAUGAGAUACUUUUUGGGGAUUGAAGUGCUGCAACAUUCUGAUGGGAUUUAUAUUUGUCAAAGAAAAUAUGCUCAUGAAGUGCUAGAAAGAUUUGGCAUGGACAGAAGCAACUUUGUGAAGAACCCAAUAGUUCCUGGCUGCAAGUUGUCAAAAGAUGAGAAGGGAACUGAAGUUGAUUCAAGUUUGUUCAAACAAGUGGUUGGCAGUCUCAUGUAUUUAACAGCCACCAGACCAGAUUUAAUGUACGGAGUAAGUCUUAUCAGUAGAUUCAUGUCAUGUCCUACCGAGCAACAUUGGUUGGCUGCAAAGCGAAUGCUGAGGUAUUUAAAAGGCACAACUGAUCUUGGAAUUCUUUAUAAGAAAGGAAGAAACAAGCAGCUCACAGGUUACUCGGACAGUGAUUUUGCUGGAGAUUUGAAUGAUCGAAAAAGUACGACAGGAUAUGUAUUCAUGCUUAGUUCUGGAGCUGUGUCAUGGUCAUCAAAGAAACAACCUGUGGUUAGUUUAUCUUCCACCGAAGCUGAAUAUAUUGCAGCUGCUUCAUGUGCCUGUCAAUGUAUUUGGUUAAGAAGAAUUUUGGCAAAACUUGGGUUCAUACAGGAACAAUCUACUAUAAUUUUAUGUGAUAACAGUUCAACUAUAAAACUGUCAAAGAAUCCUGUUCUUCAUGGAAGAAGCAAACAUAUUGACAUCAGGUUCCAUUUUCUUCGUGAAUUAGUUCGAGAUGGGGUGGUGGAUCUAAGGCAUUGUAAUACCCAAGACCAAGCUGCUGAUAUUCUAACAAAACCACUCAAAUUGGAAGUAUUUUUAAAGCUUCGUAAGUUGCUGGGCAUCUGUGAAGUUCCUACUUUAAACUGAAUGUACAUACAGUUUAAGGGAGGGAAUGUUGAGUUUGUUAUUUGAUUUAGUCAAGUUUGUUAAUAAGUCCUAUUCUAUAGGAAGUAAUUUCGUAUUUUG